UCCUCGUUAGUAUAGUGGUCAGUAUCCCCGCCUGUCACGCGGGAGACCGGGGUUCGAUUUCCCGACGGGGAG
rnacentral:tRNA from 2 species